rnacentral:rRNA from 1 species
CACGUAGGGUGCGAGCGUUGUCCGGAAUUAUUGGGCGUAAAGAGCUCGUAGGCGGUGUGUCGCGUCGGCCGUGAAAACUUGCAGCUUAACUGUGGGCGUGCGGGCGAUACGGGCAGACUUGAGUACUGCAGGGGAGACUGGAAUUCCUGGUGUAGCGGUGGAAUGCGCAGAUAUCAGGAGGAACACCGGUGGCGAAGGCGGGUCUCUGGGCAGUAACUGACGCUGAGGAGCGAAAGCGUGGGGAGCGAACAGG